AUGUAAGGGUGUAUGGUGGAUGCCUUGGCUAGCGUGAGCGAUGAAAGACGCGGAAUGGCGGCGAUACUGUUCGGGGAGGUGCCAAUCAACCUUCGAUCCGGACGUCUCUGAAUGGGGAAACCCGGCAGUCGUUGGACUGUCACGCUUGUAUGAGCGAGCAAACCCAGGGAAGUGAAACAUCUCAGUACCUGGAGGAAGAGAAAGCAAUAAGUCGGAACUUUCUUUCUGGACGGAUGCAAUGCAUCAUCCGUGGUGCACUGCGCCAUUACGUUCAGGAAGAAGGUUCUCGCGAUUCCCUGAGUAGCGGCGAGCGAAACGGGAACAGCCCAAACCAUACGUGUUUACAUGUGUGGGGUUGUAGGGCGGAAUCUGCAUUUAGUUGCGCAGAGUUACCAAAUUGGAAUAUAGCAAAACAAGCUGGGAAGCUUGACCCUAGAGGGUAAUAGUCCCGUAUGCGAAAUGUUCCAGUCUCUGUUGGUUCCGUUCCUGAGUAGUUCGAGACACGAAUAGCUCGAAUGAAUCUGGGAGCACUAACUCCUAAGGCUAAAUAUUGCGCUAGACCGAUAGUGAACUAGUACCGUGAGGGAAAGGUGAAAAGAACCCCGGAGAGGGGAGUGAAAUAGAUCUGAAACCAUACAUCUACAAGGAGUCGAAGCCCUGCGGGGCGACGGCGUGCCUAUUGAAGAAUGAGCCGGCGAGUGUACCUUUAUUCCAGUCUAAGCGGUAACCCCGCGGAGGCACAGUGAAAGCGAGCGUGAAUAGCGCGACAUAUAUGGGGUAGGGGUACGACCCGAAGCGGGAUGAGCUUGCCAUGAGCAGGGUGAAGCGACGGUAAAACGUCGUGGAGGCCCGAACCGGUUGGCCGUACAAAACCAUCGGAUGACUUGUGGUAAGGAGUGAAAAGCUAAUCGAAUUCCGUAAUAGCUGGUUCUCUCCGAAACAGCUUUAGGGUUGGCGUCAAGUGGUCCCUCUGGGGGUAGAGCACUGGAAGAAAAGAAUAGGGGGAAACCUCGUCUUUUCUAUCAAACUCCGAAUACCAGAGAUUAUAGCUUGGCAGUUAGACUACGGGGGAGAAGCUCCGUUGGUCAAAAGGGGAACAGCCCAGAUCGCCAGUUAAGGUCCCAAAAUAUAUGCUCAGUGCAUCUCGAGGAGGUGAGGAUUCAUCAACAGCCAGGAGGUUGGCUUAGAAGCAGCCAUCCUUUAAAGAUAGCGUAACAGCUCACUGGUCGAGAGUCCUUGCGCCGAAGAUGAUCGGGGCUCAAGCAUAUUACCGAAACUGCGGAUUCGUACACUUCAUCAAGGAUUAAGUUCAAAAGUCCACCAACCGGUGGCAAUUAGGAGGAAGAAAUCAUGUUCGACCCCAGCCUUGUUCUUGCAAUGGCCGGCGGAGCCGUUCUUGGAUGGCUCUUUACCUUUCGCUACUAUCGGCGGAAGGAAAUCAGACGAUUGUCUGGUGCCGACUGAGCCAGAAUCUUCCGAAGUUCCAUCGAGGAACUUCGGGUCCUUGAUGAAGUGUACGAGUGGUAGGAGAGCGUUCUAUUCUGCGAUGAAGCCAAGGGGUGACCCACGGUGGAGCGUAUAGAAGUGAGAAUGCCGGCACAAGUAACCGCAAGGAGGGUGAGACCCCCUCCCGCCGAAAUACCAAGGUUUCCUUCGCGAUGGUGAUCAGCGAAGGGUUAGUCGGUCCUAAGCCGAUCCCGAACGGGGGAGGCGAUGGAGAGCAGGUUAAUAUUCCUGCACACAGCAUUCGUUCCGAUGGAGGGACGGAGCGUUGUACCCACGGCAUCUUAUUGGAUUGGUGCUGGAGCUAUGAGCGUGUUACCUAGGUAAAUCCGGGUAGCAAUAGCGCGAGUAGAGUCUGGAGGUGAUACUACGGUUGAGCCGAUGUGGGGAGCACGCUUCCAAGAAAAACUUCUAAGGUUGUACGCGUGCUGUACCGUACCGCAAACCGACACAGGUGGUAGGGUCGAGAAGACCAAGGCGAACGAGUGAGAGGUCCUUAAGGAACUCGGCAAAAAAGCGGCCGUAACUUCGGGAUAAGGCCUGCCAGCUGCAGAUUUAAGCUUAUAAUGAAACCAUGUUUCAUUACGUUUAUCUCAUACAGCACACUGAUACGAAAGAGAAGUAUCUCGGUCGUACCGAUGAUUUGACGCAACGCCUCAAAGAGCACAACGCUCGAGGUAAAAAGGCGACAACGCGUAACUCACAAGGUGAGUGGGUAUACGUCUACGCUGAGGCGUUUCGUCACAAACAAGACGCGAUUAAUCGAGAAUCGCAACUUAAAAAUCAUGGUGCUGGUAAACGCGAAUUGUUCAAACGACUCGAAAAUAGUCUUGUUUGAAAGCUUAAAUCUGCAGCUGGCCGCAGCGAAAGAUUUCCUGGCGACUGUUUAGCAAAAACACAGCUCCCUGCGAACUCGCAAGAGGAUGUAUAGGGGGUGACGCCUGACCAAUGCCGGAAGGUUAAGUACGGAUGGUCUAAUGAUCUUCGGAUUGUUAGGCUGGGCUGUAUAAGCCCCGGUCAAUGUCAGCGAUAACUAUAAUCGUUCUAAGGUAGCGCAAUUCCUUGUCGGGUAAGAGAACUGCCCGAUUCUGCAGCGAUGCAGUCUAGCUAUCCCUACCUUAGGUAACGAGCUAAACAGAAGAGAUAGCAAAACCGGCUAUAACGGUGAAUCCCGACUAGAGGGUCUAUAAUCAAGGUAUAGACAAUGCUCUAAGGGCGAUACCGUGGGAAGUCGGUGCGAAAUUGCGAAGCAAUUUCGCACUUGACCCCGUAACGACUGACGUCACCGCCGUACAGCGGUGACCGAGAUGGUACACUAGUAGUAAUGCGUACCAUCACACGCCGGCUCUCAACAGAGAGAAAUGUGUACGAAUAUAUCUCCGGAUAUACCGACGGAGAGGGAUGUUUCAGUGUUUCGUUUUUAAAACGCGCGAAGCUUACUAUCGGGAUCGAAACGAGACCGAGCUUCAGCGUGAGUCAAAACGAAGACCGAGCUGAGGUUUUGUACCUAAUGCAAGAGCACUUCAAGUGCGGGCAUAUGCGACGAGACUACUCAGACAAAACCCUGAAAUACGAAGUCCGCAAGUUAACUGACUUGUGUGACAUCAUUAUCCCUCACUUUGUGCAGUACCCCAUGCUUUCGGGUAAGCAAGUAGACUUUGAGCAUUUCGCUCGGGUUUGUAUGCUCAUGAAAGAUGGUGGCCACCACACAAAACCUGGUUUGUGCAAAAUAGUGCACGAAGCAUUCCAGAUGAAUCCAAGCGGUAAGCGGAAAUAUCGCAAGCAAGAUUUGCUUGCUCUGUUGAGAUGAAGAUAUAGUCUGUGCCUCUAGUAAUAGGGGAUUACAUCAGAUGUCGUUCCAUAUAAUUUGGAUUCGCAUUCGGUUAGAACAUGAAGUUCCGACGUGCACGAAUGGCGUAACGACUGGGAAACUGUCUCAAGGACCUGCUCGGUGAAAAUACAAUAGGGGUAAAGAUGCCCCUUACCUGCAGUUAGACGAAAAGACCCCAGGAGCUUUACUGUAGUUUCGUAUUGGGGCUAUUGAAUUAAUGCGUAGCAUAGUGGGGAGACUUUGAAGCGGGCUUUCGGGUACCGUGGAGUCGCCAGUGAAAUACCCAUCUUUAUUUUGGUAGUCUCUAACCCGGCGGGCAAAACCCGUCAGGAACAGUGCGUGGCAGGCAGUUUAAGUGGGGCGCUUCCCUCCUAAAGAGUAACGGAGGGGUUCCAAGGUCAACUAGGCGCGAAUGGAAACCGUGCCGAUAGUGUAAUGGCAAAAGUUGGCUUGACUGCAAGGCGUAGGUGCCGCGCAGACACGAAAGUGGGACAUAGUGAACCGAUGGUUGGCUUUAGAUGCCGCCGGAGAUUACCCGAUAAAAGUUACCCUGGGGAUAACAGGCUAGUCGUGCCCAAGCGUCCAUAGCGACGGCACGGUUCGGCACCUCGAUGUCGGCUCGACUUAUCCUGGGGCUGGAGCAGGUCCCAAGGGUUUGGCUGUUCGCCAAUUAAAAAGUCACGCGAGCUGGGUUUAGACCGUCGUGAGACAGGUUGGUCUCCUAUCUACUGCAGGCGUCGAUACUUGACGAGAGUUGCCCCUAGUACGAGAGGACCGGGGUGAACGAACCUCUGGUCUACCAGCUGUCACGCCAGUGGCACCGCUGGGUAGCUAUGUUCGGAACGGAUAACCGCUGAAAGCAUCUAAGCGGGAAGCCGCCUUGAAGAUUAGGUAUCAUUAAGUCUCCUGAGAGAU
rnacentral:rRNA from 1 species